UUACUGAGUUUACGCUCUACAACCCUUUGUGAACAUACCUAUAACUGUUGCUUCGGCGGGUAGGGUCUCCGUGACCCUCCCGGCCUCCCGCCCCCGGGCGGGUCGGCGCCCGCCGGAGGAUAACCAAACUCUGAUUUAACGACGUUUCUUCUGAGUGGUACAAGCAAAUAAUCAAAACUUUUAACAACGGAUCUCUUGGUUCUGGCAUCGAUGAAGAACGCAGCGAAAUGCGAUAAGUAAUGUGAAUUGCAGAAUUCAGUGAAUCAUCGAAUCUUUGAACGCACAUUGCGCCCGCCAGCAUUCUGGCGGGCAUGCCUGUUCGAGCGUCAUUUCAACCCUCAAGCUCUGCUUGGUGUUGGGGCCCUACAGCUGAUGUAGGCCCUCAAAGGUAGUGGCGGACCCUCCCGGAGCCUCCUUUGCGUAGUAACUUUACGUCUCGCACUGGGAUCCGGAGGGACUCUUGCCGUAAAACCCCCCAAUUUUCCAAAGGUUGACCUCGGAUCAGGUAGGAAUACCCGCUGAACUUAAGCAUAUCAAUA
rnacentral:rRNA from 1 species